GGGCCUCCCCUGGCUGACGAGCUCCCCUCACGCUCGGGCAGACCCCCAGCUCUGGGCAGCAGCCGCGGGUCUGCACGCAUUUGAAGUCGGGGCCCUUAGAGGCAGGCCACGCCAGGAGCUCAGUGGGUAGUCCCAUUUGGGUGGGAGAUAGUAUGUGUGUGUGAGAGAGCCCCGAAAAAGAUGUCUAGAGAGCAGAGGUCGCUGCCUUGUCACACGAGGCCUUCAGUGACUGGUCUGCCUGGACUUCAGUGUGUGAAAACACAGAACCAUGGAAGGCUUUGGGGCAGGUGGGCGCUGAUGCCAGAGAAGUGCUUCAGGAAGGUAGGGAGGGAGCGCGUGGGUGGAGCUAGAGCAGGGUGGGCAGCCAGGGUUGAGACCACACAGUUUGUAACACAAGCACUGAAGUGGGCAGGUUUGGGGCGGUGGCCACAGAGGGGGAGCCAGGCUCGGUCAGCCUCGCUCAGCUGGUCCCCAAGGUCUGAAAAGGCACUGCUUUCCCUAUGGCAGAAGGGUUGGGGGUCAGGAAUGUGAGGUGGCAGUGGAGAGCACCCUACCACACCCUGACUGACACCGUGGACAAGUUACUUAAUGAGCCAUGAAGUUACUAAGUUAUUCACUUAUUAAGCAAACUGAGACUCCCAACAUGCUAGUUGGAACCGAUCCAUACAUCCUAGCAUUGUUGAGAGGACUGAAUGUAUGCAGGAGGCCUGGCGUGCCACCUGCUGCUUACCUGGAAAGUGCUGGGUCCCUGGAGGCAGAGGGAGGGUGACUGAUCCCCACGCUAGUUGAUGAUUUCUCCCAAAGGCCAGAUCCAACACCCCAGCAUACGGCCUUCCAAGGUCCCUUCCUUCACCACCUCUGUGAGGCACCCUCGGGUCAAGGUAGGGUCACUGCCAAGGCCCCUCCCCACUCAAGGCACCUUCACCUCUCACUGCGCCCAUGACUUGGACGAGGCAGGAACCAGCCUGCCCUUUUUACCCACUGAGAUCGCUGGAGGGUCAUGGCCCGAGAUGCCCCAUCUCCAACCACGGGGCUGGACCCAGGAUGGGUUUCCCUUGGCCUCCUGGCUUGGGGAGCCGGUGAGGAAAUGUGCCAUGGGGUGGGUGGCCUGACCAGGCUGCUUCCACCUGUCACUUCUAAAUCCCCCUUCCUUUAAUGACGCUUAUUGUAAGAAGUGUCUCAGAGAAAGCCUUUUGAAGUGAAGAGAUGGGAAAGGAACGUUGCCAUUAACUGAAACGUGUUUCUGGGAGGGCCCUGGUUUCUCUCCCAUCAAGCGUGGGCCUAGGUUGGUGGGGGGCCUGGACAAGCCCCUCUUCCUCUUGGGACCCCAGUCUCCUUUCUCGGGUCCUUGAGCCGAAAGUGUGGGCACGCUGGGGGCCACUAGAACAUGGAAGAGCACAGAAGCCUCCCUGCAGUCAGGUGAGGGGAAGGUGGGCUCGGAGGCAAGGCUUGGGGGCCGCUGGAAGGGGCGCUCCCUCCCUGGGAGGUGGGCAGUGCUGCCGCCGGCUAAGGAACUGGUCCCAGGCCUCUUCCUCCCCGUGGAUGCCACGCCCUGGGCUGACCUGUUCCCGGCUUGGUGGGGCUGCCGGGCCUUUGUCUCUGUAGGUUCCUGGCUUCAUCCUCACGCCUGGGCGGUGAGCAGAGAUGACUGACACAGAGCAGUGCUUUCUUGGCAAACAGGGCACUCCCUCCUGUUGGAGACUGGGUAGGAGGCUGCAUUUGCCUGGGUCGAGGCUGUGUGUGUGAGAGAGAGAGAGACACCAUCAGGAGGGUGAGGGCCUGGUCCUCAGGUCACUGGGACAAGAAGCCUGAGGCCUUGGAGAGCAUCUGCAAGAACUGCUUCCUCCAGCACGGGAAGGAACAGGCUGAGGAGAGGUUUUCCUCCCUGGAUGUUUGCUGCGCGGAAGCCCAUCCUCAGCGUCUGAAGAGACUGAGGGGCCGUGUAAGGCAUGAAUAAGGAGAGUUGUUUUUGCUCUAGGCUGAUGCCCCGGGGAGCUGAGUCUUAAGAGAAGCUGCUGAGUCCCACGGUUGUGCCGGGGGCUUGCGUGCUGGCAGGAGACUGGAUAAGGUGACCUCCUGCUCAGCUGCACCUGCUCUCUGACCUCGGGGGUAGCUGGUCUUGGCUAGCACCCACCCUGAGGACAGGUGCCAGGCCACAGUGAGCAUUUGGGCAGGGUGCCAGGGCCCAGUCCCAUUGCAGAAGGGCUCCCCCUGCAGGCAGCCCCCCACCGUGCAGCCCAGGGCUUAGAGGUCCCGCAUCAAAGAGAAUCAUGGUGCUCUUGUCCAUACUGACAGGGGAAACAAAACCCAGACUGGAGAGAACUUAUGUUCUCAAGUAUAAGUUUUUCCGCCAUAAAAUUUUAAUUAAACCUUUGGCACCCAUUAUGUCUUCAUCCCUGGAAAGCCCUUGCAGAUGCCAGUAUUACAGAACCAUUUCAAAACAUGUGUGGAUCCAGUGAGCUGAUUUGCAGUUCCACACGGGCCCUGCCAGGACGGGAACUUUAAUAGUUUUCUGGUGGCCCGAUGGUUGCAUUUCCGACUGGUAAGAUUGUGCUUAAUCCCUGGGCUGGAAUUCAGUGCAUCAGUGCUCCGCUGUGUCUCCUGGGGGGCCUCGGUGACAAGUGCCAAGGUCCUUGAAUAGGUAAAGAGAUCAGUGGCUCAGGGCUCUGCUUUGUAAUUCUCAAAGGUCUGCAUUUCCAUUUUGAUGACAAUCCUUGGAAUUCAUAUGCUCUUAUCUAUUUUAUCUUGGUACCCACCUUGUAACCUGGUAUUGCUGGAUGAUUUAAGAAACAUUCGCAUGUCUUCCUGAUGGGGUUGGUGUAUUUGAUUGCUCACGUUUGCUCCAAGAGAAAGUGAAAUAUAGCCUCAGUCCACUGUCUAGAGGAAGCUUAGUUCGGUUGCGUUAGAGAAAAGUGAGGGCAGAACAAGGCACGUGCCAGUAGGCCACGCCAGUGGCCAAGAUACCUGUUUGCUGGUGGCCAGGGUCACUUUCAUAGGACAAACAGAUCCCAGAUUGACGUGCGGCAACCAGUUAGAGUGUGUUGGCAGCAGCUGUGCUGGGAAAAAAUACGUGAGGAAGAGAUAGCUCGAAUUAGGAUGAGAAGAUUAAGAGUUUAUUUAAGGCAGACUUUAGUACGACCAUAAGGCUGAUGUGGUGUCAAGUGAACAGGAUACCGCUACAGAGUCAUCGCGUGAUCCCUCGUUAAGUUGGUGCUGCAGGCCUGUGUGUAGGGCUUUGGUUUUGUUUGAAAGCUGCUUAUCCUUGUAAACAAAGCCUUAAGGUUAUUAAUGCCACUUUGUUUGCACGCAUCUGUUUGCAAGCAUUUACUCUCUGUGUUGGUAUUAAUUACAUCAAAAUACAGAAACAGAACUGGCUCGAGGCCCUAUCUUUCUACUAUUAAAACCCAUUCUUGGCAAUUGAACUCGAGCAGAACAUAUCAUCUAAUUUUGUCGGUUUUGUUUGGAUUUAAUUUCCAAGUUCGCCUUGGCUUUUUACGCGUUCAAGAUUGCUAAGUGUGAGGAGUGGCUAGCUACAGUUUUGCUUCUCUGUGUGCGUGCGUUCAUUUACUAGUACAUCGAUUGAGCUCCUGCUGUGCAAGACGCAUGUCCUAGGCACUGAGGAUGCAGCAGUGAACACAUGAGAUCCCGGUCCUCACAGAGUUUACAACCUAGAGAGGGAAAGAGACCAAAAACAAAACAAAACCAAAACCCCACAAACAAAUGAGUAAAUAUGUAAGAUGAGUAAAUAACAUUAUUAGGUGGAGAUACAGAAAAAUUUGGGUGAGGGGACAGAGCUGAUGAAGAGUGACCUUAGAUAGGACGGUCGGGACAGGCGUCUCUGAAGCGGUGACAUUACUCAGAGCCCUGAGCGAAGCGUGCUGGUCGGGAGAAGAGAGCUCUAACUUAGGGAGCAGCAAAGACCCCUGAAAUGGGGACAUGGCCAGUGUGUGUUGUAUAAUAUUAUUUUAAUCGUGAUAUGAAUAAAACUUUGACAUUCCUCAACACAUGAUGAGACUGGGUCCUGGGGUUUGGGGGUCUGCAGUGAGAAGUUGGGCAGCCUCUCAGCCUCCUGGGGGUGAGGAGACCCACAAGGACCCACAGACUCACAAGGACCCCUGACUCACAGAGGAGCAGCCCUUGGGAGCAAAAGGGCUCCCUCAGGCUUGCUAGCUUGGGAAGUGGGUACACCCCCUUGAGCUGAAGGAGAGCAGAGGAGCUGCUGGCACCCCGGCCCCGUGUCCUGUCCACCCCUCCCUGCCCCCAACCCGACGACUCGGUGAUCCAGAGCUGCGUCACAGUCACCUAGGGGGCUUGUUAAAACACACACUGCUGAGCUCCACCCCCGGAUUUCUGAUUGAGGAGGCCUGGGGUGGGGCCUGAGAAUGCAUUUCAUCCAAGUUCCCAGGUGAUGCUGCUGCUUCUGCCGGUCCAGGGACCACACCUUGAGAACCACUGAGAGCAAACCGAAAACCGCGCUGGGAUCUGUCCAGAGUGACUAGAGAGGGAACGAGGACUGAGCCUUCAGGAACUGACCUGCCUGGGCUGCACACAGAUGGUCCCCUGGCUCAGUGGGCCCUGCUGCAGAGUUACAACUGUGAUUCUGGGGCCCCCAGGGACAUGACCAGGUCAGAUGUGUCCCUUGCUGAACGCUGGUGCACGUGUGGGACGGACAUUGCCCGUGCACCAGCACAUCCACACCGGCUGCUGUGGCCAUGACAGUCAGGAGCUUCCCGGGUCAGGUCCUGCAGCUGAGCGGCGGGCGGCGGGGGCACAGCCCUGGCCCAGGGCCCUGGGCAGCCAGCGCUCAGAAAAUGCCAGCGGAUGCUGAGUAGUGCCGGCACUGAUGUCACCGCCUAGAGAUUCUCGUCUCUGCCCCGUGGUUCCAGGGUCCGGCAGCUCGUCUGCCCUCUUCUCCCCUCCCUGAGUUUAGUCUCGUCUCCCAGCGCAGCUGUGUGUGAGGGUCCUCUCCCAAAGGUUUGGUGCUUUGGAAAUGGGAGGUGGUGUUACUGAGGGUCCCCCGCCCCUGGCUCUAUUCUCCUCUCUGGUACAGCCAUGGGCGUGGGUUUGAGCGUCGAGGGAGAACGGAGGCUGCGGGCUGUGCUCAGCAGCCUGGAAGCGUGGCAGGAGCUGAUGGGAAACAGUGGAGCCAAUGGCUCUGUGCACUCAGAGAAUAAAUCCUGGCUUCUGAAGAAGCUGCAGAAAAAUGAUUAUUCGCAGCUUCAAUGGUCAUCCUGAAGGAUUUGGCGGGACUGAAACCGGGCCCAUUUUCUCAUCUCUGUGCACCCCGUGCUGCUGGGUCAGGGGUUGCACAGGCUUGUCCCUGAGGCAGAGAGGCCUGGGUUGGCCCCCGUCGCCCCUUGUUGCCCCUCCCACCACCCUGUGCACCGGGAAGGGAUGUAGGGCCCUUCUUCCUCGGCUGCCCUCCGUGGCCAGCUGCUGCUUGUCUGUUGCUUGCCUUUUGGGCCUGCUGCCACGGAUGUGAAAGGUGCGUGUGCGUGUGCAGCUGAGCUGGGAUUGGGGCGUGUGUCCAGGGAUGUAGCCGUGGCCCUUUCCUGUCUGGAGCGCGGCGGGACAGGGCUGCUAUGGGCGCCUUGGGGAACUCAGCCUUUCCAUGUCUGUUCGGUCCUUCAGAGAGCGCUGCUGAGGGCUCUGGGGAGACAGCAGCCAGCUAGAUGGGGUCUGGUGUAGCUGGGCCCCUGGCACUGGGUGGCCUUGCCAGCGGUGGGCCUUGUCUGGGAACAAGGGCCCGCCUUCAGCACGUUUCCCCUGUGUGUGUGGAGAGUGGACUUAGCCCGAGCCCUAGGGAGCUGAAGGUUCCCACAGCCAGGGAGGAAGCUGCAGCUACAGACUGACGGUUCCCGGAGCUUCUGUUUGCUUUGGGUGAUUUCAGGGAACAGUUGGCCAGAGCGCUGCGAGGCAGAGCUAUGACCUCUCGGCCCAGCAGCCAGCAGAAGGAGUGGCUUAGCCUUCCAGAGAAGUGCAGUGUGGGUUGCCACACCCUCCCCUGGCCAAGAGUCCAGGGAGCAGAGGACCUGGCUCUGUCCCAGCUCGGCCCUGCGGACGUCUCUGCAUCUCUCUUAGCCUGUUCCCUGGCUGUCAGGAGAGACUAGUCCCCCCCUUGCCUGGCUGCAGUGAAAACCCAGUGAGACUGGACCUAAAGUACCCCACCUCUGCCCACGUGCAGAGGUGGAGAAUCAGACAUGGAAGGAGUCUGAGCUUUUGUGGUCCCUUUUGUUGAGGUUUGGAAUCUGGAAAUGGAUCGUCUUUGCCGGUGGUCCUCACUGAUGUGGACUGUCAGGGCCUCCCCCUGUGAGCAGCGUGGCCUUGCAUCGCUUGGAUGUUUCCGUCUUGCUGGACUUAUCGGAAGGAGCUAUAAGUGAAACACUCUGCCCCAAAAUGUCAAGUUCAUCAGGGGGUUUCAUGCCAAAGCCCCUGAAAAGUGGCAGACGUUUCUUGUUCCUUGUCUUGUUUGUAGUGGCAGCGUCUGUUGCCCAUGCCUGGUGGCCCUGGUGUUUGAGCUUAGGGAUGUGGUGGGGACAUGGGGGUAGGGGAGGAGGAGGGAAGAAAAGGGGAGCAUUGGACAGCUUAUCAGGCUAGUAAGAAAAGAUACUUUCGUUAGGUAAAGCAUGAAAUGGGAGCCCAGUUGGAAAUAAUAAUAAUGGUAUGGAUAUAGUGUUAUGAAUAUCGUUAUUUUCCCCCAGCUUUGGCCUGAUCAGGGCUUACAUGCACUGGGAUUUUAUAUAUAUAUAAUCACAUAUUAAUAUCAAGUGUUAUUAAUAAUCUUAAUUACUAAAGAGUAGCUAACUUUUACCAGAAUUUUAUUUGCAGAUACUGCAAAGUGCUAAGCCCUGUAAUAUGCAUUAUUUCAUGAAAUUAUCUCAAGAACCUUAUGGGUAAUUAUCAUCCCCAUUUUAGAGCGAGGGAAACGGAAGCUGAGAGGUUGAACAUCUUGUCCGAGGUGCGCUGAGGCAGGGCGGGGGAGCCAGCAGCUCGAGCCCCCGCCUCAGACCCUGGGUUUCCCCUAAGGAUACCACUUCCUGGGUGCUAGGCUGUGCCUGGGCGUGACCGCUCGGCAGGCAGGGCAGUGCUUUCAUUAUACUAAUGAGGAGGACAGUGGUCCAAUGGCGGUCAAGGGCGAAGGUUGUGGAGCUGGACUGCCUGACUCCACAUGCCCAUACGACUGCUUACCAGCUGGGUGGCCUUGGGCGAAUGACUGAUCUGCUCCUCGGUUUACUCAUCUGUGCCUCCCUCAAGAGUUGUGAGGAUUAACACCGGCGAAGGGCCUAGAAGGGGGCUGUUAAUAUGCGUUCAUCAUUGUUCUGUCACUGUCCCUGUGCAUGGUCCCGGGUCCACGCUUGGGGGGUGUCUCUGGGUCAGGAUGGAGACUGGCAUGAAACAGGUGCCCAAUAAACAUUCUCUGCAUGAGGGAAUGGAGUUUACUAGGUGGUCGGCAGGGCUCCUCUAGUCAUCAGUCUUCUCUUCCAAGGAUCUUCCCCACGGUUUCCUGCCUGAGACGGACCCAUAAGCAGGGCUGACCCUGCCUCUCACCCAUGCUGGCCAGCACGAGCUCGCUGGGUCUGCCUGGGGGGAGGGUCCUAGUGGACCCCGGGGAUGGCUGGAGACACAGGCUUCUUGGAGAGGCAAUUGAUGGCAGAUGCCAGCUCUCCAGCCUGCAGGGUGGGGCGUGUGGGAAGCCGGCUGUUCUCUGAAUAGUGGGGGCUGCUCCGUGUGAGUGUGUGAGCUGCGGAGCUGGAGUCCCUGCCCGAGCCUCGUGGGAGGGGCUCAGAGGGCUGGGCGGGCCAGUGCAGGAGGCUGCAGAGCCUGUCAAGGUUAACAGAUAGGCCUUGGCUCUCCCCUAGGAAGUCAUUCAGUUUCUCCCCUGACUCAGGCCACAUUGUUUCAAAGCAUGUGGUAUAAACGACUAACCACUGGGGAAUUGCUUGAAUUAACAAACUCAUUUUUCCCGAGACCUGAGGUUGAACUUGAGUGAGGAGUUCAGGGCUCUUUCGCAGAAAUCCAAUAGAUCAGGAGAACUCAUGUUACACCAUGUUUUCAACCUUGAUCAAAUGCACAUUUUGCACGGUGGGGCCUUCUCCACGCCUGCACACUUCCAGCUGCACCGAUAGCUCAGGACCGUGGCAGACCGGGGCAGUAGCUGGCACUGGGGUUGGGCCUUGGGGGAGCUGGCCUCCUGCCUGGGUUGGAAGGCGCUUCAGAAAGGUUCCUCUCUUCCUCUCUCCCUCUUCUCCUCCCAACUCCUGCCACCCCCACGCCUGCCCUUCUGAGUGCCAUUACUUAAGAGGAGGCAUGAAGGUUUUGCUGGAACGGUCCUGGGUUCUGGGCUGAGUCACGGGGCCCCAGCUCAGCUCUCCGGUGUGUCUUGUCUCUGCCUGUGAAGACCUGCUGGGCCUGCUUCCCCUUCAGCAGGGCGCCCGGCACAGGGGCCACUAUAGAUCUGCAGGGUCAAGCAGGAAUCAGUCCCUCUCCCACGGCCAUCCCCACCCACACAGCCCAUGGCCAGGCCACAUCCAAGAGCGGAAGCUCAGGGGAGGCCUGGAGAUGGCUCUACAGCCUACAGGACAGAGGCCAGUCCCAGUAGGCCAGGAACUCCCCAGGGACGAAGUUUCUGUGUGCGGUAUAGGACUGGAACCACAGGGGACGUGGAUGGCAGAGGAUGGGGAAGGUGGGGCUCAGGGAGGAGUUCACGUAAGGAGGGUAGGCUUCCUAGAGGAGGCUGGGUGGCUUGUGGAGCCCCAAGAAAGAAGAGAACAGAUGAGGAACUUCCCAGAAAACAACAUUGCUCCCCAGACCCUGUCCUUUGCCAUCCAGAUGCUGGGGAUUCUGUUUUUUGUGAGGCAAGGUGUAUAUGGCCCAAACUGGUGGUUCUUAAACCAGGCUCAGCCGCCUGAUCACCUGGGGAACUUUGUAACACUAUAGACGUACAGCCCCACCCCAGACCUAUCCAGUCAAUUGCCCUUUGAUGGGGUCUGGACAUCUGCAGUUCUGAAGCUCCCCAGAGUGUUACGGUGCUGGGCCAGGGUCCAGAGACCCUUCCCCCUGCAUGGGUUGCUUGUGCUCAGCCCUCUUCUUUCCUGGCUGGUGGCUAUCUGGGGCUCAAGGACAUUAAGCCAUGGGGACACAUUUGAUGGAAUCGCCGUGGAUUUCAGUGUCCCUGUGGCCCAACUCAGCUCAGGCUGUAGGAGGGCAACUUCUGGAUCACGGAGGGUAGGACUUGCGGGCCCCAGGGGUAGGAGAGGAUGGCUCAGCUACUCCCCUGUGCUGGCCUCUCUCCACCUGAUGGUGGAGGGCUCUCACCCUCUCCUCUGCCCCCUGGCCUCUGUCUCGCAGCUUAGGGAGAGCCGGCUUUGGGAAAUGUCAUGAGUUUUCAGCUACAACUGCUGCUGCACUGCAGUUCUCUUGGGAUUUUGUCAUUCCAAGUUCCAGGGCAGGGAAUCAGUUUGGCCCAACUCCGAGGUCAAGGGUAGCCCAUCGAUUACUGCCUCAGGGGCAGAGGGGAGGACAGAUAAUACAAAACACAGUCGCCAGUGCAUCAGGGGUGGGGCAGGCAGGUCAUGGCCAUGUCCAGUACAGUCUCUUGGUUCUGAGGCAGAAUCUUCUGGGAAACUGAAGCCUGGUAGAGGCAUCUCCACCAGGAGAGCUGGGUGGAUAGCCUUGGCCUCCAUGUGCGGGCAGGAGAACUGAGGGUUAGAGAGGGCACCCCACUAGAACAUUGACACGCUGGAGUCUUCAUUGUCAUUUAGUCUGAGAAGAGGUCAGCGACCCCGGAGGCGGGUCCUGGGCCAUCUUCUGGCCACAGGCGUGGCUCCUACCUUGUGCAUUCUAGAGCCUAGGGGGCUGGGGGAGUCAUAGCUGCAUGGGGGUCGCUUCUCUGCCUUGGUCUCCUUGUGAUGGGGAGCUUUUAUCACAGACUGUCUUCAUCUGACCUCCCCAUGACACUGGAUGAAAAGUGUUGUGUGAGCUUUUCUGGGCAGAGGGUCCGUACCUCUAUGAGAUUCUCCCAGGGGCCCUGGACUCAGUCAUGUGUAGACCCGCUGCUUCUUGGAACUUGUUAGUUAAAACAAUUUCUUGUGUCCGCAACUAUGGACACGUGGCCUGGCUCUUUGUCAUCAAAGACAUGAGGAGGUGCCUUCAGAGUCUUUGCUGCAGGCCGGGGAGGUUGUCACCCAGGAGAGGGUGCACAGGGGCUGUGUUGUGUUCACGUGCUCCCCGCUGCUGGGUUGGCACCUGGCUCUGGAGAGCACUUGGACUUGGGUCCAGGAGCGUUUUUUCCCCUACCUCCCCCUGUUCUUCCAAAAGAGCCUCCCCUGGGGCUGGGGAGCCACGUGAGCUUCUUGGAAUGUGUGCCCCCAGGGAGAAAGGACCUCCUUCCUUUUGUGCCUCUUCAGGGGUCAUAGCACAGCUCAAGGUGGUUUAGCCCAUGACCAGAGUGUUCCCCUUGUGGCUUCCUGUCCGGGUCAGGGCCAAGUUUCCCAGGCUUUAAGGGAUUCUCUGAAAAGAUCAGACCCAGCGACGAAUGCCACUGCACCUUUCCGAAAGCAGCUGUCACACAAGGUAUUAGUUAUGUGCCCGGAGGUUCCGACAGAGACAUGUCAGUGCCCGGCCGGAAUGCCUGAAAACGUUCAUCCCGGUGGCAUGUAGGUGCUGACGGUGGGUGCUGCCACCCUCCCGCUGCCCGUGCUUCACAUGGACGUGUGUGUACUAUUUACGUGGCUAAUAGGCUUCUUGACUGAGGGUGACGUUCACACACUCUAAAAAGUCCAUUAACUGAAUUUAAGCUUCUCCAAGAGGUCGUGGGGCCUAGUCUGUCUUUAGCAUGUGACGUGGAGGGAAUUGGAAAUCCAAGGACCCCUUCUGCUGGGCCUUUACCGGGACUGGAGACAGUGAGCUUUGCUGAGUGAGUAGAUCAUCUUCAGUCUGCCCGGAGCCUGCGGGUCCAGUGGAGUCCGAAGUGCUGGGUCAACCUGCCAGUUUCGGCCGGGGCUUUCCUUCGGAUGGGGUACCUGCUGCCAGGCUCAGUCUGGGAAGAAGCUGUCCUCACAACACCUGGCUCGGCCGCCUUGACUAUAUUCACAGGAGUCGAGGAGCUACACUGUCCGGAACAAGACACGCGCUGGCAAGCGCUGGAUGGAGUGAACCCGACCUUCUGCUUUGAGGGCCUCUCCGCAGUGAGUGUGUCGUGGGGCACCCAGCUCGCACCCUUAUAGGGGCCGCCCUUCCUCCAAGCAACCCCACUCCUGAGGCAGGGGCCAGGCCAGCCGUGGUGGAGCGCAGGCACAGGGUCACGCGAAUGAGGGCCCAUUUUAAACAUCUCACAAAGAGCAAGUGUUUAUUCUCCUGCUGUAAAUACAGGAGCUGCCCUAAGGACUCAUUUCG